ACUGAAUGCACUGAGGUCACUGUGCUCUGAAUUCCCAGCUGUCACCAAGGAGCCUUUGCAAUUCAAAGAAGUCAAGGAACCAGGAACUGGCUGUGCUGGACUCAGAGAGGAUCCAUUAUGUAGAUUAGGACAUAGAGAACCCAGAGCAGGAAAGGGCUUGAUUCCAAGUCACCAAGAUUAUCAGUGGCAGAGUCGGAGUCAGAGGCAAGGUGACCACAUCUCUCAGCUUGCUGCCUUCCUUCCAGAAACUCCACCAGAGACUUCCCCUUCUCUCUCUGUUGGCCUUCCUAUGGAUGUGGACAGAUGACCCAGGCUGGCCAGCAAGCAUUCUCUGUCUCCUGAGCAAGAAAGAAAGCCGCAGUGCAAUGAACAGAAGACAAUGGACCCAAUGACCCGGGCUACCAGACGCCAGCCUAUGACUGUGUUCAAAACAAUGCAAGAAGGAGAAGAAUACACGAUGCUUACGACUUCGUCCCUUAUCACCCGCCUCUGAUUGUGCGCCCUCCUCUGUAAGAUCCUCCAGAUUCCUCAUGGGAGGCGGGGCACAGACCUAGAGGCAUGAACCUACUACGUCUUUCCUCCACUGGCUGAAAGAUUAAAGCCACCUUUCUAUUUCCUCC
ensembl:lncRNA